rnacentral:rRNA from 1 species
CGCGCAGGCUGCGCGUCGAGUCGGCUGUUAAAGAUCCGGGCUUAACCCGGUGAAGCGGUCGAGACCGACGAGCUGGAGUGCUGCAGAGGCAAGUGGAAUUCCCGGUGUAGCGGUGAAAUGCGUAGAUAUCGGGAAGAACACCGGUGGCGAAGGCGACUUGCUGGGCAGCAACUGACGCUGAGGCGCGAAAGCCAGGGGAGCAAACG